rnacentral:rRNA from 1 species
UGGAUCCAGACUUUGAUUAUGGCUCAGGAUGAACGCUGGCGGCGUGCUUAACACAUGCAAGUCGAACGGAUUCAUGUUGAAACCUAGUGAUGCAUGAAUUAGUGGCGGACGGGUGAGUAACGCGUGGGUAACCUGCCAUACACAGGGGGAUAACAGAGAGAAAUUUCUGCUAAUACCGCAUAAGACCACAGAGCCGCAUGGUUCAGGGGUAAAAACUUUAGUGGUGUAUGAUGGACCCGCGUCUGAUUAGCCAGUUGGCAGGGUAACGGCCUACCAAAGCGACGAUCAGUAGCCGGCCUGAGAGGGUGAACGGCCACAUUGGGACUGAGACACGGCCCAAACUCCUACGGGAGGCAGCAGUGGGGGAUAUUGCACAAUGGGGGGAACCCUGAUGCAGCGACGCCGCGUGAGUGAAGAAGUAUUUCGGUAUGUAAAGCUCUAUCAGCAGGGAAGAAAAUGACGGUACCUGACUAAGAAGCCCCGGCUAACUACGUGCCAGCAGCCGCGGUAAUACGUAGGGGGCAAGCGUUAUCCGGAUUUACUGGGUGUAAAGGGAGCGUAGACGGCAUAGCAAGUCUGAUGUGAAAGGUCGGGGCUUAACCCCGGGACUGCAUUGGAAACUGUUAAGCUGGAGUGCAGGAGAGGUAAGUGGAAUUCCUAGUGUAGCGGUGAAAUGCGUAGAUAUUAGGAGGAACACCGGUGGCGAAGGCGGCUUACUGGACUGUAACUGACGUUGAGGCUCGAAAGCGUGGGGAGCAAACAGGUUUAGAUACCCUGGUAGUCCACGCCGUGAACGAUGAUCACUAGGUGUCGGGUGUCAAUAGGCAUUCGGUGCCGCAGCUAACGCAAUAAGUGAUCCACCUGGGGAGUACGUUCGCAAGAAUGCAACUCAAAGGAAUUGACGGA